rnacentral:rRNA from 1 species
UGAUCCUGGCUCCAAAGAGGGGGACCUUCGGGCCUCUAGCCAUCGGAUGUGCCCAGAUGGGAUUAGCUAGUAGGUGGGGUAACGGCUCACCUAGGCGACGAUCCCUAGCUGGUCUGAGAGGAUGACCAGCCACACUGGAACUGAGACACGGUCCAGACUCCUACGGGAGGCAGCAGUGGGGAAUAUUGCACAAUGGGCGCAAGCCUGAUGCAGCCAUGCCGCGUGUAUGAAGAAGGCCUUCGGGUUGUAAAGUACUUUCAGCGGGGAGGAAGGGAGUAAAGUUAAUACCUUUGCUCAUUGACGUUACCCGCAGAAGAAGCACCGGCUAACUCCGUGCCAGCAGCCGCGGUAAUACGGAGGGUGCAAGCGUUAAUCGGAAUUACUGGGCGUAAAGCGCACGCAGGCGGUUUGUUAAGUCAGAUGUGAAAUCCCCGGGCUCAACCUGGGAACUGCAUCUGAUACUGGCAAGCUUGAGUCUCGUAGAGGGGGGUAGAAUUCCAAGUGUAGCGGUGAAAUGCGUAGAGAUCUGGAGGAAUACCGGUGGCGAAAGGCGGCCCCCUGGACGAAGACUGACGCUCAGGUGCGGAAAGGCGUGGGGGAGCAAACAAGGAUUAGAUACCCCUGGGUAGUCCACGCCCGUAAACGAUGUCGACUUGGAAGGUUGUGCCCCUUGAGGCGUGGCUUCCCGGAGCUAACGCGGUUAAGUCGACCGCCUGGGGGAGUACGGCCGGCAGGUUAAAACUCAAAUGAAUGACGGGGGGCCCGCACAAGCGGUGGGGAGCAUGGUGGGUUUUAAUAUCGAUGCA